AACCACCACUCUGCAGCAGAGCCUGCUCUGUGGCCUCAAGAUGUGCCCUUGGUUUGCUUCCUGCGUUUAACUUUGCUUCUGGGUAACACCUAAUUGAUGAAGCAAGAAAAGCAGGGAUCAUAGAAUCAAUGGCAAAGAUAGAAGGUGUUUGUCCUGGAGCUAUAGCAUGGCUAUGAAUUUGUCUUAGUUUCAACUCAGAGAUUCCUUUGGAGGAAGUGGAAAGGAAGGCUACUUGGUGCCCACACAACACAAGAGGACAGCAGCCACAUGAUCCUAGUAAAACGGCCCCACUCUCCACCCCCUACCCCCGCUCCGUUCCUCACAGCACUGCUUUCCCCCUGUAAGUUGUUAUGGCUUCCUCUGGCUUCUGACUCCCUCCGUAGCAGGGACUUUGUCUUUUUGUUCACCACUGCAUUCUCUGCACCUAUAACAAAGCCUGACCCCUAACAUAAGUGCUCAGUAAAUAAUUAUUAAUUGGCUGAGUGACAAUUAGUUCUAGAACUUACUAAGUCUUGUCAUUUAGUUUAUACUUUUGAAGGAAUUUCUAAAAAUUUAUUCUUCCUCCAGAAACUAUACCUAUCAACAUUAAUCGUAUUUCCUUUCAGUCCUUUACUUAUGUAUAUUUUAAUUUCGUUAAUAAUAAAAACAUACACUCUUAUUUUAAAGGAAAUGAAACAUUACAGAUAAAGCUAAGAUUCAGUCCAUUAACCAGCCCCCCCCCCAAGUCCCCUCCCCUGGAGAGGUACCAUAAUCACUUUUUGUGCUCUUAAAAUUUUGUUAUAGCCUUCAUUUGUGAAAGGCAGACAAAGAAGCUGGGAGAAAUCCCAAACCAGUGCCAAAACUUUGUAUAGUUAAAAAAAAAAAGUCACCAAAUCUAAUCCUUGUUUUCCAAAGAGAUUCAGAAAGUCCUACAUCAAAUCAAGUUAUCUGCUGAACACAUACUUACCUUCCCUUAUCAUGCAUUUGCCAAGUACGUGUUGCCUACCACUGUGUGCUGCAGCAGUGAGCAGUGCACACAGCAGCCUCUGCCCUCAGCCAGCUUGUAUUCCAUGGGUGAGCGAGGCGAGGCAUCAACUGAGGGAAAAACACAGCCUGUCAGAUGGUGGUGAGCGGUGGAGCGAAUAAUAAAAUCAGAGAAGGUGAUAGGGCAUGGCAGGUAGAGAGAGGAGAUCACAACUUUAAACAGACAGUCAGGCCUCAGGGAGACUUUUUUGCACACAGACCUAGGGGAGGAAAGGGAGAGAGUGGCGUGGUCUCUAAGGGAAGAGCAUGUCGGGCAGAGAAAACUACAAAAGAAGGGCCCUGAGACAGAGAGUAUCUCAUGUGAUGAAGCCAGUGGGACCAGAAAAGCAAGUCAAGGGGAAAGGAGGCGGAAGAAAAGUCAGCAUAAGGACUUGGACUUUUACUCUGAGUAAAACCGAAAGUCAUUAGGAGUGUUGAGCAGAGAAAGGGUAGGAUCUGACAUUCCUUAAAGGUAUCGUAGUGAUACCUUUAAACUGUCCCCACAACUGGAAACUUGUGGCAGCAGCAGUUGGGGUGGUGAAGUAGUAGUUGGUUCUGACACAGUUGAAAGGUAGGGUAGCGGAAUUUGCUACAGGGUUACACGAGCACUGUGAGAAGAGCUAAAUGUCAAAGAAGGAUUCCAAAGUCUUUGGCAAAAGAUACUGUAGGAUGGAAUUGCCACAUAGCUACAUAGAGAAGCCUGCAGGAGGAGCAGGUUUUCAGAAAGACCAGGAGUUUGUUUUGGACAUGUCACAUUUCAGGUGUCUUUUAGACAUCCACCUGAGUGUCUGGUCAGCAGGAGAAUGUGCAGAAGUUCAGCAUUAGAGGUCCUGGCUAGAAAUACAAAUUUGGGGAGGCAUUAGUGUAUAAAUGGCGUGCUCAGAGAAGUGACUGAGAGCAAUAAAGUAGAAGAUAUAGAUACAGAAGAGGCUCAAGGGCCGAUGUCCCUCCUAGUUAGAGACCAAGGAGAUGAGGAGCCAGUAAAUGAACCCAAUGAGUAGCCAGAUUAUUCAGAAGAAAACUGGGAGCAAGUGGUAUCCCAGAGCCAAGUGAAGGAAGUGUUUCAAAGGUGAGCACAUGCCAUGUGAUCCUGCUCAAUCCGAUAGGGAUGAGGGUUGAGACUCCAGUGGAAUAAUAUUGAGGUCAUAGGUUUAAAAGAAGAUAAGGUGAGAGAAAUUGGAGAUGAGAAUAUGUAACUCUUUCUAGGAGUUGUGCUGCAAAGGGGAACAGAGAAACUCCCUUGCUUUUCUCAGGAGUCAGGUUUCUGCUCAUAGAAUUUGUCUCUAAAAAUACCGUAGCCCAGCUGUUUGUGUCAGGGUGUGUACCUGGCAUGCUCCUGCUUUGUUGAGUGUUUCAGGUAGCCCUGGGAGCCAGGCACAGGGUCUGCCUCUCUGCCUCUGUCCCUGCUGCCUAGUACUUAAAGGCAGGGAGAUGAACAAAAGCAGUAAAGUCAGGACCCUGAGAAUGAGAUGGCUGGGAGGCAUUAAGACCCUGUGAGUCCACUGUGGGUGUCUGAAAUUUCAUUUCUGUUCAUUUCUUUGAAGUAUCUCCUUGCUCUGUGGUCCAUUUUGAAAACACAUAAUUUAGAAAGGCUUUGAGUGGGUUGGUUUGACCUGGUUCUGCCCUUGACUUGUCAGGAACACUGAGAAGAGGGAGUCUUGGUGGGAGCGGGGCAGGAAUCCAGAAAUGCCCUACCUCCAGGAACAGAGGGGGCAAAGCCCCAAAUUUCCCUUUCCUCUGCCUUCACCAAAGACCUUGGAAUCAUUAGCAACCCAGAUGGCCUGUUAUGAGGGGUGGAGACGGUGCUUACCACCUGUUCACCUCUCUUCCUAUGUUCAGGAGAGUUUAAUUGGGAAGAUACAGAGGAAAAAAGGAAAUCAGAUCUUGGAUCUAUGUUGUAUAUUUAAAGUCAAUUUUUAAUGUUAAAAUGAAUUCUGAAGAAAGGGAGUCAGCCAUCCUUACUUCCGCCUCCCUGAGCACUGCUCCACCCCCAACGUAGGGAUCUGAGGGCCUUUGCUGAAGCGGCCCGAGGGUGAGAUGCAGUGACUCAGGGUAGCAGGGCUUACACAGAGCACUUGGCUUCAGCACCAUGUCUUCAGAGAAAGGCAGUAAUAACUGACCAUAUUUUCUAAAUCAAACAUUAGAGCACAUAAGUACAUUUGUUUACAUAGAGGUAUAAAAGAUAAGGCAAUGAACGUGUUUUAUCAAGGCCUGAUAAUGGGGGGAGACAUAUUAAAUUAACUUAAGGGGAUCCUCAGACACUCAGGAUGUGUGGUCAUGGUCACAUUAAUCCCAAAGCCCCAGCAAAGUCAGCGCCUUGAGAGACAUGGAGGGGAGUGUCUGGGGACCUCUCUCACAGGAAGGCUAAAAGAGGCCCUCAACUUAGAGGUCACAGGUUCAUGCCAAACCUUCCUU